rnacentral:lncRNA from 12 species
CAUUUUACACGUUGCAGAUUGUUCAGGUGAGUGCAAUAUAAGGAAUGGAAAAUACUGGAAAUAGCUCCCUGAAAUAGAACAAAGGAUGAUUCUGACAUCAUAAAUGAUGUGGAUUACAUAGUUGGUGAACGGCUGAUGAGUCGCUGCUACUUGAAAGGAUGUGAACAGCAUCGAAGAAACUUGUGUCUGAAACCAACACGGUGCCUACAUUGAUCAGCCGAAAUUAAGUGGAGAGUCAACCGGAAGAUUGACAACACAGGCAGAGGAGGACCUAAGAGGAAAGGACCAAUUUCUACUGCAGCAAGAAUGUCAGUGACUGGGACAAGCCCUCACAAGGGUUUCCACGAGCCAUUCCUCCUUCAUUCUGAGCAUGGUCCUGGGAACCUGUGUGAAGCAAACCAGGCCAGAGAGUGGUUUGGUUUGUGUUGGCCGAGGAUUUGGGGGCACAGAAUGAAGUGGAGUGGAGACCUCCCGGGAGAUGAAGAAUAAGCUGGAAGCUAGGCAAUGUCUGAAAAUUUGAGUCUAUAAAAUUGGGCAGUGAGAACACAGGAGCCCAAGUAAAGUACGUUACACGGUAUCUAUGAGCCAAUUUGGAAAGUGGAGCCCAGAAGAGUCCCCUUGGGCACCAGAUAUGAGGUAAGGAUUCUUUUACAGCUUGGCAGCUGUAGAUCUAUAUGCUGGGAAAGAGAUCAAUUUUAGACACUUUAAAGUUAUUAAAGUCUCAUUUUCACAACAGACUCUCUCAACAGUGGACAGUUCAGCUAAUGGGAUAAUUUAACCAAGAAACUAAUUUAUCCAAAAAAUUCCUGAAGGACUGAUAGAAGAAACUUUUUACUCAGGCAACAAAACCAGAAUUUAUUAAAUUGUACCAUGGACAUUCGACAAGCAAAUCUAAUAUUAAGAGUAUUAAAAGUUGUUUUUUUUUUUUUUAACAGCAAUAUCCACAGGGACUUUUAUUCCUUGACCUCACUUUGCCCCUCGAUCCAAAAUUCAUACAAAUUAAGUGGUGAAAGCUGACAAAACGUUUGAAUUACCUUAAAAUGACAUGUUAUGAAUUUAAAGCAGAAGGAGAGAAGAUGAACUAACAUUUACCUAAAGUGACAGAUGCACUAAUUGCAAGCUUAACAGAGAAAGUGUUCCUGAGAAUAAAAACACCAGAAGGAAAUGACA